rnacentral:rRNA from 1 species
GAUGAACGCUGGCGGCGUGCCUAAUACAUGCAAGUCGAGCGAACAGACGCUGAGCUUGCUCCUCGGACGUUAGGGGCGCACGGGUGAGUAACGCGUGUAAACCCUACCUAUAAUACGGGUAUCACUUCGGGAAACGGGAUCUAAUACCGGAUGAUAUAUUGAUCCGUGGGGUGCAAUGGUAAAAUUCGGUUGUGCUGGCACGUAUAGAUGGAUCCGCGCCGGAUUAGCUGGUUGGUAAGGUAACGGCUUACCAAGGCUACGAUGCGUAGCCGACGUGAGAGGGUGAUAGGCCACACUGGAACUGGGACACGGUCCAGACUCCUAAGAGAGGCAGCAGUAGGGAAUCUUCCGCAAUGGGGGAAAGCAUGACGGAGCAACGCCGCGUGAGUGAUGAAGGUCUUCGGAUCGUAAAACUCUGUUAUUAGGGAAGAACAAAUGUGUAAGUAACUAUGCACGUAUUGACGGUAACUAAUCAGAAAGCAACGGCUAACUACGUG